rnacentral:rRNA from 1 species
ACUCCUGCGGGAGGCAGCAGUGGGGAAUUUUGGACAAUGGGCGAAAGCCUGAUCCAGCAAUGCCGCGUGAGUGAAGAAGGCCUUCGGGUUGUAAAGCUCUUUUGUCAGGGAAGAAACGGUGAGAGCUAAUAUCUUUUGCUAAUGACGGUACCUGAAGAAUAAGCACCGGCUAACUACGUGCCAGCAGCCGCGGUAAUACGUAGGGUGCAAGCGUUAAUCGGAAUUACUGGGCGUAAAGCGUGCGCAGGCGGUUUUGUAAGUCUGAUGUGAAAUCCCCGGGCUCAACCUGGGAAUUGCAUUGGAGACUGCAAGGCUAGAAUCUGGCAGAGGGGGGUAGAAUUCCACGUGUAGCAGUGAAAUGCGUAGAUAUGUGGAGGAACACCGAUGGCGAAGGCAGCCCCCUGGGUCAAGAUUGACGCUCAUGCACGAAAGCGUGGGGAGCAAACAGGAUUAGAAACCCCGGUAGUCCCA